rnacentral:rRNA from 1 species
UGGGGAAUAUUGGACAAUGGGCGGAAGCCUGAUCCAGCCAUGCCGCGUGUGUGAAGAAGGCCUUUCGGUUGUAAAGCACUUUAAGCGAGGAGGAGGCUACUUGGAUUAAUACUCUAGGAUAGUGGACGUUACUCGCAGAAUAAGCACCGGCUAACUCUGUGCCAGCAGCCGCGGUAAUACAGAGGGUGCGAGCGUUAAUCGGAUUUACUGGGCGUAAAGCGUGCGUAGGCGGCUUUUUAAGUCGGAUGUGAAAUCCCUGAGCUUAACUUAGGAAUUGCAUUCGAUACUGGGAAGCUAGAGUAUGGGAGAGGAUGGUAGAAUUCCAGGUGUAGCGGUGAAAUGCGUAGAGAUCUGGAGGAAUACCGAUGGCGAAGGCAGCCAUCUGGCCUAAUACUGACGCUGAGGUACGAAAGCAUGGGGAGCAAACAGG